AACGAACGCUGGCGGCAUGCCUAACACAUGCAAGUCGAACGAGACCUUCGGGUCUAGUGGCGCACGGGUGCGUAACGCGUGGGAACCUGCCCUUAGGUUCGGAAUAACUCCCCGAAAGGGGUGCUAAUACCGGAUAAUGUCUUCGGACCAAAGAUUUAUCGCCUUUGGAUGGGCCCGCGUUGGAUUAGCUAGUUGGUAGGGUAAAAGCCUACCAAGGCGACGAUCCAUAGCUGGUCUGAGAGGAUGAUCAGCCACACUGGGACUGAGACACGGCCCAGACUCCUACGGGAGGCAGCAGUGGGGAAUAUUGGACCAUGGGCGAAAGCCUGAUCCAGCAAUGCCGCGUGAGUGAUGAAGGCCUUAGGGUUGUAAAGCUCUUUUAACCGGGAUGAUAAUGACAGUACCGGGAGAAUAAGCCCCGGCUAACUCCGUG
rnacentral:rRNA from 1 species